rnacentral:rRNA from 1 species
GUGCACGCUGGCGGUAGGCCUCACACCUGCAAGUCGAACGGCAGCACCGUAAGAGCUUGCUCUUACGGGUGGCGAGUGGCGGACGGGUGAGGAAUACAUCGGAAUCUACUUUUUCGUGGGGGAUAACGUAGGGAAACUUACGCUAAUACCGCAUACGACCUACGGGUGAAAGCAGGGGAUCUUCGGACCUUGCGCGAUUGAAUGAGCCGAUGUCGGAUUAGCUAGUUGGCGGGGUAAAGGCCCACCAAGGCGACGAUCCGUAGCUGGUCUGAGAGGAUGAUCAGCCACACUGGAACUGAGACACGGUCCAGACUCCUACGGGAGGCAGCAGUGGGGAAUAUUGGACAAUGGGCGCAAGCCUGAUCCAGCCAUACCGCGUGGGUGAAGAAGGCCUUCGGGUUGUAAAGCCCUUUUGUUGGGAAAGAAAAGCAGCAGGUUAAUACCCCGCUGUUCUGACGGUACCCAAAGAAUAAGCACCGGCUAACUUCGUG